GAAAUGCGAUAAGUAAUGUGAAUUGCAGAAUUCAGUGAAUCAUCGAAUCUUUGAACGCACCUUGCGCUCCUUGGUAUUCCGAGGAGCAUGCCUGUUUGAGUAUCAUGAAAUCAUCAACCCCCCGCCUUCUUUGUUGAAGGUCGGAGGCUUGGAGUUGGGGGGGAUUACUGCCGGUCGCGUCAAGCGGUCGGCUCCCCUUGAAUGCAUUAGCUGGGCGCCACGGUACGGCGGUUCACGGUGUGAUAGAUUAUCUACACCCACGGGACCUCGAACCGGUCGAGCUUCUAACCGUCCCCUCGUCGGGACAACCCCUUUGAAAUCCGAUCUCAAAUCAGGUAGGACUACCCGCUGAACUUAA
rnacentral:misc_RNA from 1 species